AGUGAACGCUGGCGGUAGGCCCAACACAUGCAAGUCGAACGGCAGCACAGUAAGAGCUUGCUCUUACGGGUGGCGAGUGGCGGACGGGUGAGGAAUACAUCGGAAUCUACUUUUUCGUGGGGGAUAACGUAGGGAAACUUACGCUAAUACCGCAUACGACCUACGGGUGAAAGCAGGGGAUCUUCGGACCUUGCGCGAUUGAAUGAGCCGAUGUCGGAUUAGCUAGUUGGCGGGGUAAAGGCCCACCAAGGCGACGAUCCGUAGUUGGUCUGAGAGGAUGAUCAGCCACACUGGAACUGAGACACGGUCCAGACUCCUACGGGAGGCAGCAGUGGGGAAUAUUGGACAAUGGGCGCAAGCCUGAUCCAGCCAUACCGCGUGGGUGAAGAAGGCCUUCGGGUUGUAAAGCCCUUUUGUUGGGAAAGAAAAGCAGCAGGUUAAUACCCCGCUGUUCUGACGGUACCCAAAGAAUAAGCACCGGCUAACUUCGUG
rnacentral:rRNA from 1 species